GUGGGGAAUAUUGGGCAAUGGGGGCAACCCUGACCCAGCGACGCCGCGUGAGGGAAGAAGGCCUUAGGGUCGUAAACCUCUGUUGUGUGGGAAGAAGGAAGUGACGGUACCACACGAGGAAGUCCCGGCUAACUACGUGCCAGCAGCCGCGGUAAUACGUAGGGGACGAGCGUUGUCCGGAUUUACUGGGCGUAAAGGGCGCGUAGGCGGUCAUUUAAGUCAGCUGUGAAAUGGUUUGGCUUAACCGGAUCAUGCGGUUGAAACUGGAUGACUGGAGUGCUGGAGAGGCAAGUGGAAUUCCCAGUGUAGCGGUGAAAUGCGUAGAUAUUGGGAAGAACACCGGUGGCGAAGGCGACUUGCUGGCCAGCAACUGACGCUGAGGCGCGAAAGCCAGGGGAGCAAACGGGAUUAGAUACCCUAGUAGUCC
rnacentral:rRNA from 1 species